CAGUGAGGAAUAUUGCGCAAUGGGGGAAACCCUGACGCAGCGACGCCGCGUGGGUGAGGAAGGCUUUCGGGUCGUAAAGCUCUGUCAGAAGGGAAGAAGUGCUUAUAGGCUAAUACCUUGUAAGUUUGACGGUACCUUCAAAGGAAGCACCGGCUAACUCCGUGCCAGCAGCCGCGGUAAUACGGAGGGUGCAAGCGUUGUUCGGAAUCACUGGGCGUAAAGGGCGCGUAGGCGGCUUGGUAAGUCAGAUGUGAAAGCCCACGGCUUAACCGUGGAAGUGCAUUUGAAACUGCUUGGCUUGAGUAUCAGAGGGGAAAGUGGAAUUCCCGGUGUAGAGAUGAAAUUCGUAGAUAUCGGGAGGAAUACCGGUGGCGAAGGCGACUUUCUGGCUGAAUACUGACGCUGAGGCGCGAAAGCGUGGGGAGCAAACAGGAUUAGAUACCCUGGUAGUCCACGCCGUAAACGAUGUCAACUAGGUGCAGGGGGUGUUGAUCCCCUCUGUGUCGCAGCUAACGCAUUAAGUUGACCGCCUGGGGAGUACGGUCGCAAGAUUAAAACUCAAAGGAAUUGACGG
rnacentral:rRNA from 1 species